GUAAAAAUUGUAUUUUUUAUUUAUUGUAACAUAUUCGCACACGAUAAUGUGUGUAACACUGCGUAUCUUGGAUGUGUAUCUGAAAGCAGUAGAAGCGAGCGGAACAAAUAGGACAACUGAAAAAAGUGGUAAAACCCGCAAAUCUAUCACACAAAGCUGCAAGACCCCAAGCAAGUUCGCACAUGUGCUGACAACUAAAAUCUUACUAACUGACUGAUGAAUAAAUCAUAACAAUCACUGGCUUCUCUACACUACGAAAGAUUGUGCGCAAGUAAUUAUAUCACUAAAAUUUAUGUGAUCCCUGUAAUGAGUGAGCCUCGAUUCGCAUUCGAUUUGUAAGUUACUUUACGCAAAUUCAUCAUGGCCCCCCGUAAAUCCAAGGCUAAAAAAGUUUCCGAAUAUAAAACUCCAAAAGUAAACACUCCCAAAGUCGACUAUCAGCCUCAUUGCACAACGCCAAGUAUCCAGAUUCGCAAAGUAAAACAAAGAAAAGCACAAUGUGGAGUAUGCAAAGCCAGAAUAACGAGGCUCGAAUGGCCGCAUCACAAUUUAAU